rnacentral:rRNA from 1 species
UACGUAGGUGGCAAGCGUUGUCCGGAAUUAUUGGGCGUAAAGCGCGCGCAGGCGGUCCUUUAAGUCUGAUGUGAAAGCCCACGGCUCAACCGUGGAGGGUCCAUUGGAAACUGGGGGGACUUGAGUACAGAAGAAGAAGAGUGGAAUUCCACGUGUAGCGGUGAAAUGCGUAGAGAUGUGGAGGAACACCAGUGGCGAAGGCGACUCUUGGUCUGUAACUGACGCUGAGGCGCGAAAGCGUGGGAGCAACAGG